rnacentral:miRNA from 1 species
CAAUGUCUCUGCAAUGUAAUCA